CCUUCGAUAGCUGAGUUGGUAGAGCGGGGGACUGUAGAUUUAUAUCUGAGAUCCCUAGGUCGCUGUUUUGAAUGCGGCUCGAAGGA
rnacentral:tRNA from 1 species